GGAGGUGGUCUACUGGGUUAUGUGGUGUACGAUGUAACCCAUUACUACUUACACCACGGGCAGCCAAUUGUCCGGAUAAUACCAAUGGCCUCAAAGUUAAAUGGCACUUCAGAUAGUGAUUGGUUUCUGCUGCCAGGCUUGUAUAAUCUGGGGAAUAACCAUUUACUACCAUAUACACCAGACACAACACCAAAACGUAUAUAAUCUGUUAAGAGUGCACCCAAAUAGGGAAAAAAAAAAAAAAGGUACUGGAUACCAACGGAAUGUUUCAAUCCAAACAUGUUUUUGAAUAAACAUUCACACUAAAUUAAGAUAGCAUAUCAGCUUCCAUGACAAAAAGAAUUGUGCAAUUUACACCCAUUAUGCGCAUUCAUGUUGUAACGUUCAAUCCACCAAAAGUAAUAAUACUAGCAGUCAAAAACCAUUAACACAAUAGAUAAAGAAAUCGAUGCUGCACAGAAUGAUUAUCAAUAGCAGUAUAAGCUUAAAGAGAAUGUUUGGACACCAACAAUAAGAAUGAUUAUCAGUAGUAGCUCCCUUAGAGAUCAAAAUUCUUUGAAUAGAAUUCAAUAACAUUACAGAAAAGGGGACCGACAGUUCUAUUUAUUUCAUAUGCUAGUAGUAGAUUACCAAUCAACUUCAACAUAAAAAAAUGUUCAUUCUCAAACCAGGCACCAAUUUCACAUUCAGGCCAUUACAUGGAACUUCAAGAUGUUACCUCUUCACCUCUUUCGCGUUUUGAAAACCUUCAUCUGCCGGUAUGUGGGUUCGUGAACACAAUCAGUAUGUAGUUGCUAGGAAGACGAAGACGACGACACGACCUGCGUCUGGUGUUCCUGUGAUGGCAAAGAACUUCUGGCAAUUUUGCCUGUGAGGUGUGGAAGAAUCGAUUUGGGGGAGGAUUUGGAAGGAAAUCUAUCUAGGGCUGGGUGUUCGAAUUAGGGAUAAGAGAUUUAUGGGUUGGGAAAUGGUGAAGGGUCGUGUUUUGGCUGUGAAAUCGGGUCCACCGUGGUUGAGUUUGACGUCAUCGACAGCCACAUCGCCUGCCGUCAAGCCACGUGAGAUGGG
rnacentral:lncRNA from 1 species